rnacentral:misc_RNA from 1 species
GAUGAAGAACGUAGCAAAAUGCGAUAAGUAAUGUGAAUUGCAGAAUUCAGUGAAUCAUCGAAUCUUUGAACGCACAUUGCGCCCGCCAGUAUUCUGGCGGGCAUGCCUGUUCGAGCGUCAUUUCAACCCUCAAGCACAGCUUGGUGUUGGGACUCGCGUUAAUUCGCGUUCCCCAAAUUGAUUGGCGGUCACGUCGAGCUUCCAUAGCGUAGUAGUAAAACCCUCGUUACUGGUAAUCGUCGCGGCCACGCCGUUAAACCCCAACUUCUGAAUGUUGACCUCGGAUCAGGUAGGAAUACCCGCUGAACUUAAGCAUAACAAUAAGCGGAGGA